GCAUUUUCUUCUGUAUUUGUUUACGUUUUCUAUCAAGUUAAUAAAGAAAAUGGUGUUAACUGUGAAUGUGUUCUAUUUGUUCAACUAGCAAACCAAAUGUCACCACAGUAUAAUGAGUCAAUAUUGACGCAAAAUGCAGUGUUGGAUGACUUCUUGAGAAUAACCAAAAGGAGGAACACAUUAAACACAUUUGGAAAUCAUGAUCAGUCGUGGUAACAAAUAUAACUUCAUGUAACAUGCAAUAAAAACUUUAUAAACAGAUGCUUCACAAAAAAAUGACAACAAUAUAUUACAUUGAGGAGGCAGGGUAGCCUAGUGGUUAGAGUGUAGAGGUGGCAGGGUAGCCUAGUGGUUAGAGUGUAGAGGCGGCAGGGUAGCCUAGUGGUUAGAGUGUAGAGGAGGC
ensembl:lncRNA